rnacentral:rRNA from 1 species
CUUUUUGAAAAUCUUGAAGAAUACUCCGCGGCUGCGCCACGCUCCGCAUUCGUCUCCAAAUUUUUAAAAAAUUACCCCCAAAGUGAUCCACAAUAGUGACAUACAACAGCAACAUCAUUGUUGGGGCUUUUAUAUUAUCAUUAUAUUGAGAUGGAUGUGAUAGAUCAAACAGCCUUAAAUGAUGACUCGUCAUUUAUGAGUCUUUGAGACCAAUUAUUACCAAAUUUCCGCUCACGCCGAUGGGGGUCCUCGCUCC